rnacentral:lncRNA from 1 species
AGCCUCAAGAGCUGAUCUGGUUCAUCCUUGGUGGGUUUAGCUCAGCUUUGGUUGAUCCCUGUUUGAGUCCAUCCCAGUUUUGUUGGGUUUAUCCCUGGUUUUGGUUAAUCCCAGGUUUUGGUUAAUCCCAGGUUGUGGUUUAUCCCUGGUUUUGGUUAAUCCCAGGUUUGUUGGGUUUAUCCCGGGUUUUGGUUAAUCCCAGGUUUUGGUUAAUCCAAAUUUUGUUUGGUUUAUCCUUGGUUUUGGUUUAUCCCUGGUUUUGGUUAACCCCAGUUUUGUUGGGUUUAUCCCUUUUUUUGGUUAAUCCCAGGUUUUGCUUUAUCCCUGGUUUUGGUUAAUCCCAUUUUUUUUUGUUUUCUCCCUGGUUUUGGUUAAUCCCUGGCUCUCCUGGGUUUUCCCGUUUUUGGUUUAUCCCUGGUUUUGGCCCAUCCCAGUUUUGUUGGAUUUCUCCCUGGUUUUGGUUAAUCCCAGGUUUUGGUUUAUCCCAGUUUUGUUGGAUUUCUCCCUGGUUUUGGUUAAUCCCAGGUUUUGGUUUAUCCCAGUUUUGUUGGAUUUCUCCCUGGUUUUGGUCCAUCCCUGGCUCUCCUGGGUUUAACCCUUCAGGGUUUCUCCCUGGUUUUGGUUAAUCCCAGUUUUGUUGGAUUUCUCCCUGGUUUUGGUUUCUCCCUGGUUUUGGUUAAUCCCAUUUUUUUUUUAUUUCUCCCUGGUUUUGGUCCAUCCCUGGCUCUCCUGGGUUUUUCCCUUUUUCGGUUUAUCCCUGGUUUUGGUUAAUCCCAGUUUUGUUUGGUUUAUCCCUUUCUUUGGUUAAUCCCAGGUUUUGGUUUCUCCCUGGUUUUGGUUAAUCCCAUUUUUUUUUUUUUAUUUCUCCCUGGUUUUGGUGCAUCCCUGGCUCUCCUGGGUUUUUCCCUUUUUUGGUUUCUCCCUGGUUUUGGUUAAUCCCAUUUUUUUUUUUAUUUCUCCCUGGUUUUGGUGCAUCCCUGGCUCUCCUGGGUUUUUCCCGUUUUUGGUUUAUCCCGGGUUUUGGUUAAUCCCAGUUUUGUUGGAUUUCUCCCUGGUUUUGGCCCAUCCCAGUUUUGUUGGAUUUUUGCCUCCUUGGCUCCGUCCCGCCGGAUUUUUCCCGGUUUCCGCGCGCCGGCCCC